rnacentral:rRNA from 1 species
UACGUAGGGGGCAAGCGUUGUCCGGAUUUAUUGGGCGUAAAGAGCGUGUAGGCGGCCAGGUAGGUCAGCUGUGAAAACUCGAGGCUCAACCUCGAGACGCCGGUUGAAACCAUCUGGCUAGAGUCCGGAAGAGGAGAGUGGAAUUCCUGGUGGUAGCGGUGAAAUGCGCAGAUAUCAGGAAGAACACCCGUGGCUAAGGCGGCUCUCUAGUACGGUACUGACGCUGAGACGCGAAAGCGUGGGGAGCGAACAGG